GACACUCUUAUCUCAACCACCAAAAAGCCAGAAGUGGAACUGUGGCUCAAAUGGUAGAGCACCAGCCUUAAGUGAAGAAGCUCAGGGACACUGCCCAGGCCCUGAGUUCAAGCCCCAGGACUGGCAAAAAAAUGC